rnacentral:rRNA from 1 species
GCGUUAGAGUUUGAUCAUGGCUCAGAUUGAACGCUGGCGGCAGGCCUAACACAUGCAAGUCGGACGGUAGCACAGAGGAGCUUGCUCCUCGGGUGACGAGUGGCGGACGGGUGAGUAAUGUCUGGGGAUCUGCCCGAUAGAGGGGGAUAACCACUGGAAACGGUGGCUAAUACCGCAUAACGUGCAAGACCAAAGAGGGGGACCUUCGGGCCUCUCACUAUCAGAUGAACCCAGAUGGGAUUAGCUAGUAGGCGGGGUAACGGCCCACCUAGGCGACGAUCCCUAGCUGGUCUGAGAGGAUGACCAGCCACACUGGAACUGAGACACGGUCCAGACUCCUACGGGAGGCAGCAGUGGGGAAUUUGCACAAUGGGCGCAAGCCUGAUGCAGCCAUGCCGCGUGUAUGAAGAAGGCCUUCGGGUUGUAAAGUACUUUCAGCGGGGAGGAAGGCAGUGAGGUUAAUAACCUUACUGAUUGACGUACCCGCAGAAGAAGCACCGGCUAACUCCGUGCCAGCAGCCGCGGUAAUACGGAGGGUGC